rnacentral:lncRNA from 1 species
ACCAAUGGUACUGAUGUCCUCUGCCAAGUUUACAGAUCUCAGGUGAUGCUUGCUCCCCUUCAAGUCCUGCAGGUUUAUUUCCUCUUAUUGUCUGUAGGCCAGCCCUGAAGAUCAAACCUGGGUGGAGGUUCAGAUCAGCAUUGCCAAUCUGGAUUUGUUCUCCAGGAAUACACAGAUGCAUCUUCCUGCUGUGCUUUUGGUGGCUGCAGCACAGAUAGCCUCUCAAACAGAUCUUCACAAGGGAUCUGCAUGCAGAGAUUGAAGCUAAAGCUGACAGGACAACUUCUUUAGCCACCUGGCUUCACUAUCAGAAAAAAAGGACCCUGAAGAUCAGCCCUGAGCAUGCUGAGAUUUGGGCAGCACCUGAUCAAGCCCUCGGUGGUGUUCCUGAGGACAGAGCUGAGCUUUGCUCUGGUGAACCGCAGGCCGGUGCUGCCAGGACGUAUCCUUGCCAUGCUGCUGCUCCCUGGAAGGGCAGGACACGCUCAGGACACUUGGAAGGCCAGGUAGGAUGGGACAUGGGUUUAUUCCAAGUCCAGGCAGUGAUGCUUGAUCAGAAGAUGCUUGAU